UACGAAGGGGGGCUAGCGUUGUUCGGAAUUACUGGGCGUAAAGCGCACGUAGGCGGAUACUUAAGUCAGGGGGUGAAAUCCCCGGGGGCUCAACCCCCGGAACUGCCUUUGAUACUGGGUAUCUCGAGUCCGGAAGAGGUGAGUGGAAUUCCGAGUGUAGAGGUGAAAGUUCGUAGAUAUUCGGAGGGAACACCAGUGGCGAAGGCGGCUCACUGGUCCGGUACUGGACGCUGAGGUGCGAAAGCGUGGGGAGCAAACAGG
rnacentral:rRNA from 1 species